rnacentral:rRNA from 1 species
GAGUUUGAUCCUGGCUCAGCGCGAACGCUGACGGCGUGCCUAACACAUGCAAGUCGAGGGGCAGCAGGCUGAAUCCUUUGGGAUUUGGUGCUGGCGACCGGCGGACGGGUGAGUAACGCGUAGGCGACCUACCCCAUGGUCUGGGACAACUCUUCGAAAGGGGGGCUAAUACUGGAUAAGCUCACGGCAUUUGGAUGUUGUGAGAAAAGGUGGCCACUGGUUAUUUCCUUAUGGGGGUAAUCAAGCUACUGCCAUGGGAUGGGCCUGCGUCCUAUCAGCUAGUUGGUGGGGUAGUGGCCCACCAAGGCGACGACGGGUAGCCGGCCUGAGAGGGUGGUCGGCCACACUGGCACUGAGACACGGGCCAGACUCCUACGGGAGGCAGCAGUGGGGAAUAUUGGGCAAUGGGCGCAAGCCUGACCCAGCGACGCCGUGUGGGGGAAGAAGGCCUUCGGGUUGUAAACCCCUGUCGAGGGGGAAGAAUGGCUGUAUAGUUAACAGCUAUACAGUUUGACGGUACCUCUGGAGGAAGCCCCGGCUAACUACGUGCCAGCAGCCGCGGUAACACGUAGGGGGCGAGCGUUGCGCGGAAUUACUGGGCGUAAAGGGUGCGUAGGCGGCCUGGUAAGUCGGAGGUGAAAGCCCACGGCUCAACCGUGGAGGUGCUUUCGAUACUGCUGGGCUUGAGGCCAGGAGAGGCUGGCGGAAUUCCCGGUGUAGCGGUGAAAUGCGUAGAUAUCGGGAGGAACACCGGUGGCGUAGGCGGUCAGCUGGCCUGGCGCUGACGCUGAGGCACGAAAGCGUGGGGAGCGAACCGGAUUAGAUACCCGGGUAGUCCACGCUGUAAACGAUGGAUGCUAGGUGUCAGGGGCUAUAUGCUUUUGGUGCCGAAGCUAACGCGGUAAGCAUCCCGCCUGGGUAGUACGGCCGCAAGGCUGAAACUCAAAGGAAUUGACGGGGGCCCGCACAAGCGGUGGAGCAUGUGGUUUAAUUCGACGCAACGCGUAGAACCUUACCGGGGUUUGACAUGCGGGUGGUACUGACCUGAAAGGGGAGGGACCCUUACUUUUGGUGGGGGAGCCUGCACAGGUGCUGCAUGGCUGUCGUCAGCUCGUGCCGUGAGGUGUUCGGUUAAGUCCGGCAACGAGCGCAACCCCUGCCCUUAGUUGCCAGCGCGUUAAGGUGGGCACUCUAAGGGGACUGCCGGCGACAAGCCGGAGGAAGGUGGGGACGACGUCAAGUCAUCAUGGCCUUUAUGCCCCGGGCUACACACGUGCUACAAUGGCCGGGACAGAGGGUAGCGAAGCUGCGAAGUGGAGCCAAUCCCAAAAAUCCGGUCCCAGUUCGGAUUGCACUCUGCAACUCGAGUGCAUGAAGCGGGAAUCGCUAGUAAUCGCGGAUCAGCUACGCCGCGGUGAAUACGUUCCCGGGCCUUGUACACACCGCCCGUCACACCACGAAAGUUGGGUGUACCAGAAGUCGCUAACCCAACCCGCCGUUAAGGUGGGAGGGGGGCGCCCAAGGUAUGCUUAGCGAUUGGGGUGAAGUCGUAACAAGGUAACC